ACCCUUAACCCAGUCCCUCUGUGGGUGGAGCUAGCUAACAUUAAAAAAAAAUGAAUGUGAGCCAGAUGAAUAACGAUUCCGCGGCGUUUGUUGAUUGCGUAAGAACGGGAAAGAGUUGCGGUAGCUUCACUGUUAAUUUUCAAAAACAUGCUAAAGAUUUUAUUGUUUGUCAGGUAAUAAAUUAGUUUGACACGAUCGCAAGCUAGCAAACCAAGUGUCAGGGAAUCGAAUUCUCAUGAACCAAAAGUGUUGUUUUCUCCUUGUUGAUUUCCACGUCUGCGUUUAGUGCCGCCUUCAUCUUUCUUUCCGUCAACCCUCGCUCUCCAGACUACGGCUAGACCCGAGCUACACGCUAGUCACAAUCACUUUUGUCUCAAACUCUUGUCAUUUCGCUUUAAUCAAACUAGUGUCAUGACGCCGCGUUUGGGAGCCAGGUGCUUGAAACGCCAUCGUGCUUGAACAAAGAGCCAUGCCUUGCCAGCGUGAGACGCUUUGAAAAUGGCGUGCAAAACACCUGCCAGUCACAUCCCGGCAAGCACUUUGUCGGAGCCAGUUUGGGAGGGGAACCGUCGAGUGUUGUAGGACGGCACUAGCGAGCGAGCGUCAGCUGCCAAAUAGAAACACAAUGUUGCUAGUUUGUCAAGAUGGCCUAAGGCGUGUUUUCCAUGAUUUUGACAUGCUGAUACAUGUGCAAGCGUGAGACUAAUAACAGGUGACACGCAAGCCAUCAAUGUUAGUUAUUUGGCGCCUGACGUUUUCCCCGUGCUCUUUGCUUUGAACAGAAGGGGGGCUUGUGUUUGCGCAAAACAGAUUAAGGCCUGCUGCGUCGGCCAUUUUUUUUUUUGGUGUGCUCGUCAUUCAUGCUAGCUCACAAGGAAAGCAUUGUGAAGCCUCCGCCCCCGAGCACUGGAUCUCUGCAAAGGCCUCCCCCGAACAAGCUCCAGUCCACAAGUGGAACUUUAAAAGAAGCUGGAGUUGCAACAUUCCCCCCCCAACCCCAACCUCACCUCGCCGCGGUAACCACCCACGCUGAGGAGACACACAAGCUGCAGCCAUGUCCUGGAGGGAAAACGAAUCUGAGUAAACAUGGCUGAAUAAAUAAAUGCGUCAACUGUU